rnacentral:rRNA from 1 species
AUUGAACGCUGGCGGCAUGCCUUACACAUGCAAGUCGAACGGCAGCACGGGAGCUUGCUCCUGGUGGCGAGUGGCGAACGGGUGAGUAAUGCAUCGGAACGUACCCGGAAGUGGGGGAUAAUGUAGCGAAAGUUACGCUAAUACCGCAUAUUCUGUGAGCAGGAAAGAGGGGGAUCGCAAGACCUCUCGCUUUCGGAGCGGCCGAUGUCGGAUUAGCUAGUUGGUGGGGUAAAGGCCUACCAAGGCGACGACCCGUAGCGGGUCUGAGAGGAUGGUCCGCCACACUGGAACUGAGACACGGUCCAGACUCCUACGGGAGGCAGCAGUGGGGAAUUUUGGACAAUGGGCGAAAGCCUGAUCCAGCCAUGCCGCGUGAGUGAAGAAGGCCUUCGGGUUGUAAAGCUCCUUCGGCUGAAAAGAAAUCGCACAGGCUAAUACCCUGUGUGGAUGACGGUAUCAGCAUAAGAAGCACCGGCUAACUACGUGCCAGCCGCCGCCGUAA